rnacentral:lncRNA from 1 species
AAUUUCCUAUCUUAAGGGAGCAUUCCCAAACAUUCAACUAUACACAAUUUCCAUUUCUUUGAUCCCCGUCUAUUUUCUUUUCUUUUUCUUUUCACAUCCACACAACCAUGAGCCUUUUCUUUGUUUUUUCUUUCUUUUCUUUUUCUUUGCUCUAUGGUUUCAAGGGUGAUUUCUUUUUCUUGUUUCUUUUCAUACUUUCACCCUUUCAUAAAAACUCACUUCUCCAAGUUUCUAAUCAACUCUUUUUCUUUACUCUCCCCAACUUUAGAUUCCAAAACCAAUUUUAUUCAAUAAUGCUCCCUACUUAGACAUAAGCAAAAGGCAAAAUUUGCAAACAACUCGGUUUGAGGGUUC